UAUUGGUCAAUGGAGGCAACUCUGACCCAGCCAUGCCGCGUGAAGGAUGACGGCCCUAUGGGUUGUAAACUUCUUUUAUAUGGGAAGAAACUUAUCUACGUGUAGAUAACUGACGGUACCAUAAGAAUAAGGAUCGGCUAACUCCGUGCCAGCAGCCGCGGUAAUACGGAGGGUCCGAGCGUUAUCCGGAUUCAUUGGGUUUAAAGGGUCCGUAGGCGGAUUUAUAAGUCAGUGGUGAAAGCCGGCAGCUCAACUGUCGAACUGCCAUUGAUACUGGAUAUCUUGAGUGACAAUGAAGUGGGCGGAAUGAGUCAUGUAGCGGUGAAAUGCAUAGAUAUGACUCAGAACACCGAUUGCGAAGGCAGCUUACUAACAUUUACUGACGCUGAGGGACGAAAGCGUGGGGAGCGAACAGGAUUAGAUACCCUGGUAGUCCACGCAGUAAACGAUCAUCACUCGCUGUUGGCGAUAUACUCUCAGCGGCCAAGCGAACGCGAUAAGU
rnacentral:rRNA from 1 species